UCCUACGGGGCGCAGCAGUGGGGAAUAUUGCACAAUGGGGGAAACCCUGAUGCAGCGACGCCGCGUGAGCGAGGAAGUAUUUCGGUAUGUAAAGCUCUGUCAGCAGGGAAGAAGAAUGACGGUACCUGAAGGAGAAGCACCGGCUAAAUACGUGCCAGCAGCCGCGGUAAUACGUAUGGUGCAAGCGUUAUCCGGAUUUACUGGGUGUAAAGGGAGCGCAGGCGGUUCUGCAAGACUGAUGUGUAAGCCCCGCGGGCAACC
rnacentral:rRNA from 1 species